rnacentral:rRNA from 1 species
CAUGGAGGGUGAGAAUCCCGUCCGGUUGAUCAUUGCGUUUUACGAUACGCUUUCUAAGAGUCAAGUUGUUUGGGAUUGCAGCUUAAAAUGGGAGGUAAAUUUCUCCUAAGGCUAAAUAACGGCGAGAGACCGAUAGCGAACAAGUACCGUGAGGGAAAGAUGAAAAGAACUUUGAAAAGAGAGUUAAAUAGUACGUGAAAUUGUUGAAAGGGAAACGAUUGAAGCCAGUCGUACCUAUGGGUAAUCAGCCUUUUGGGUGUGAUUUUGUGGAGCGUGAGGAGUUAAACGCCUUCAUGCCUGCAUAUUCGUGCACUUUGGGUGUACUUGCCCGUAUGGUUGGUUAACAUCAAUUUUGGUGGUCAUAAAAUGACUGGAGGAAUGUAGCUUCGAUCUCGUAUUGAAGUGUUAUAGCCUUCGGUAGAUGUGAUGAUCGAGAUUGAGGAUUGCAACGGAUACCCUUCGGGGCUACCUGUCUGAUCUCUGAUCGUUGCUCUGGUGCCGAAAGCUUGCUUACGGUUAUCAAAGUCGAUGGUCAAUAGGUUAGAACGGGUUAAAUUCGUUAAGGAUGUUGACGUAAUGG